CCAUUCAUCAUUAUAUAUAUUAUCUUUCUCCACAAACUACCAUCUCACUAAAUAAGCCAAAACUCUUUCUCUUCCACCCUUCCCAAGAUUCAUUCAAUCUCUCUCUUCUCUACGAUUUCAACCUCCAACCAUCUUCUUCUUAAAUCUUCUCCAUUUUUAGUUUCCCUCUGUUUCAUCAUCAUCAAAUUUUUAGUUUCCCCUAUUCCGAUUUGGUUUUUGGAUCUUAAGGCACUGAUUAGGGAGUGUUGUGGUUGUUGGUAUGGGCAUAGAGGGAAACAUAUUGCCACAUUGAAACAAACAGAAACACAGAAAGAAAAAAGAACCGAUCUAAGUCGAAGAGAAGGAGAACGGGAAAGAAACCGACGAACAAACGCCUCACACGAUAUUUUUUCACGAUUCAUUGCUUAUUGAACCAUUCGUCUCAUGUGUCGCCCGGUUGAAAAAUACAAAAUGAGAGGAAUUCCAAUUAUCAGAUCUGGAUGUCUCUUCUUUAUAUAAUUGUACUUGAUUAGGGUCUUUUGGUUUUUUUAUUUUAUUUUUUGAGAUAUUUCUUUAUCCCUUCAAAGUGGAUGUUAUCUUGUGUUAGGAAUUGAAAUAGAGUUGAAAGAAUGUGAAUUAGUGUUAUUUUUUAUUUUUAGAUUUUAAGUCUGAGUUAGUGUUGUGUUUUAUUUUUAUGUUUUGAGUUUUUUUUAUGCAGGUGAUGAAAAUUUAUAAAGAAGGAGAUGGAUUAGAAUGUUGUUUGCAGCAUGUGUUGGUGUUGUAUUUUUGAGUUGUUGUGAUGGUUCAAAUUUUAUAGGUGAUGAAAAUUUAUAAAGAAGAAGAUGGAUUAGAAUGUUGUUUGCAGCUGCGGUUGAAUAUUGUUUUGUUUCUCAAAUGUGUUGGUGUUGUAUUAUUUAGUUGUUGUGAUGGUUCAAAUUAUAGGUUAAGUUUUGUGGAUUAUUGAUGUAAAGUAUCAAUGAAAGUUUCUAAGUUUUGUGGAUUAUUGAUGUAAAGUAUCAAUGAAAGUUUCUACCUAUAGGAUAAUAGCUUUCCUAGCUU